rnacentral:rRNA from 1 species
UGGGGAAUUUUGCGCAAUGGGCGAAAGCCUGACGCAGCAACGCCGCGUGUGUGAUGAAGGUCUUAGGAUUGUAAAGCACUUUCGACCGAGACGAAAACCCGCUGGCUAAUAUCCAGCGGUUUGACUGUAUCGGGAGAAGAAGCACCGGCUAACUCUGUGCCAGCAGCCGCGGUAAUACAGAGGGUGCAAGCGUUGUUCGGAAUUAUUGGGCGUAAAGCGCGUGUAGGCGGCGAAGCAAGUCGGGUGUGAAAUCCCUCAGCUUAACUGAGGAAGUGCGCUCGAAACUGUUUUGCUUGAGUACCGGAGAGGGUGGCGGAAUUCCCCAAGUAGAGGUGAAAUUCGUAGAUAUGGGGAGGAACACCGGUGGCGAAGGCGGCCACCUGGACGGAUACUGACGCUGAGACGCGAAAGCGUGGGUAGCAAACAGG